rnacentral:rRNA from 1 species
UACAGAGGGGGCGAGCGUUGUUCGGAAUUACUGGGCGUAAAGGGCGCGUAGGCGGCCCGCUAAGUCGAACGUGAAAUCCCCAGGCUCAACCUGGGAACUGCGUCCGAUACUGGCAGGCUUGAAUCCGGGAGAGGGAUGUGGAAUUCCAGGUGUAGCGGUGAAAUGCGUAGAUAUCUGGAGGAACACCGGUGGCGAAGGCGGCAUCCUGGACCGGUAUUGACGCUGAGACACGAAAGCGUGGGUAGCAAACAGG